GAUGAACGCUGGCGGCGUGCCUAAUACAUGCAAGUCGAGCGAACAGACGAGGAGCUUGCUCCUCUGACGUUAGCGGCGGACGGGUGAGUAACACGUGGAUAACCUACCUAUAAGACUGGGAUAACUUCGGGAAACCGGAGCUAAUACCGGAUAAUAUAUUGAACCGCAUGGUUCAAUAGUGAAAGACGGUUUUGCUGUCACUUAUAGAUGGAUCCGCGCCGCAUUAGCUAGUUGGUAAGGUAACGGCUUACCAAGGCAACGAUGCGUAGCCGACCUGAGAGGGUGAUCGGCCACACUGGAACUGAGACACGGUCCAGACUCCUACGGGAGGCAGCAGUAGGGAAUCUUCCGCAAUGGGCGAAAGCCUGACGGAGCAACGCCGCGUGAGUGAUGAAGUUCUUCGGAUCGUAAAACUCUGUUAUUAGGGAUGAACAAAUGUGUAAGUAACUGUGCACGUCUUGACGGUACCUAAUCAGAAAGCCACGGCUAACUACGUG
rnacentral:rRNA from 1 species